UCUAGGUGAGGGGAGCACGCAAUCUAAGGGGUUGUUGAGGUGUGGAAAGUGUUUCAGUGUUGUUUUUUUCCCCCAGAGAGGUGAACAGAGAGGAUUCUUCUCUGGUGCCACUGCUCCUGGAUGGGACGAGACACAGACCUGUCCUGGGCCACCACACCCAUGGCCACUGUGUUCCACUGGAUUUAUUCCUCCUGAGCAUUUCUCAAAGCUGUCAUCUUGACCUUUCUGGCAUGAAACUCAGGUUUUAUUGCAAUCAACAAACUCCAUUGUUGCCAGAGAAGCUCGGGAGAUGCAGCUUAUCUAAAAUCCAGAGUUAUCUGCGUGUCACACGAGGCCUUUCUGUAAGUUUGCUGUGAUCUAUCUAUGUUUAAAUAAAAAGAAAAAAAAAAAAAAGAGAAAAAGCA
rnacentral:lncRNA from 1 species